AUGUAAAUUCCUUGAGGGCAGGGGUUCUACU
rnacentral:piRNA from 1 species